rnacentral:lncRNA from 1 species
UCUCUCUCUCUCUGAGUAGCUGUUCUCUUUGCAGCUUCAUGUAGUCUACAUGGGAGAUCGACCUGAAGAAGGUGUAUCAGUUGUUUCCAAGCAUCACGGAAUGUUGCAUAGAGUACUUGGAAGGUUUGUUUCCAAAGAUAACAUGAAUCCGAUGAUAUUUUGUGGACUGAGGGUAUGAUGCAAUACAGAUGAAGUGACUAAACUAAUUGCAAACUAGCAAGUACUAUGCUAAAAGUGAAAUGUAAACGCUGAAUCGUGAUUAUUCUAAGUUUUAGCUUAAUCUACCUUACUAGUGGAGAGGAGACUUGAUCCUUCCAAGCAUCUUUAACUAGAAAACAUCUCUGUUUCAUGAUUCAGUGCCUCAGCAGCCAAAGACUCACUGGUCCACAGUUAUGGAAGAAGUUUCAAUGGAUUUGCGGCCAAGCUCACAGACGAGGAAGCCACCAGAAUUUCAGGUGAGUUAACCUAUCUCGGAGCAACAAAUCAACCAAAGAUGUUAAGACAGUUCGUUUUAACCAAAUACAUUGCUGCAGAAAUGGAAGGAGUGGUUUCAGUAAAUCCAAGCCGCAAGCACAAGCUUCACACUACGAGGUCUUGGGACUUCUUGAAUCUUACCACAGACAAGCUGCAAGCAGCACCUGAAUCAGAUGUUGUUAUCGGCCUCCUUGACACUGGUUAGUGGUAACUAACAUCACAAGUUGUUUCUAUUUCAUGAGGAAUAUUUGUCUGAAAUUCUUGCUUUCCUCUGCUGUCCAUCUCCAUAGGAGUCUGGCCAGAGCAUCCGAGUUUCAACGACACAGGUUUCAGUUCUCCACCAACUAAAUGGAAGGGAACCUGCGCAGGCACUAAUUUCACAUGCAAUAAGUAAGCAUUCUCAUCCAAAGUUGAACAUAUAAGACACCAACAAUUCUGCCUUCCUAUUUUUAUCAAUCAAUAUAUUGGAUUGGCUAAUCGGAAUUACCUUGACAUUAUGAGUGCAGCAAGAUCAUUGGAGCACGGUUCUAUCACAGUGAUGACCAGUACUAUAAUGGAGACGUCCCCUCAGCAAGGGACACAGAAGGACAUGGAACACACACAGCAUCAACUGCUGCAGGGGUUGAGGU